AUGCGGUGCCUUGCGCAGGGAUGCGGUGCCUUGCGCAGGGACGCGGUGCCUUCCGCAGGGAUGCGGUGCCUUGCGCAGGGAUGCGGUGCCUUGCGCAGGGACGCGGUGCCUUCCGCAGGGAUGCGGUGCCUUGCGCAGGGAUGCGGUGCCUUGCGCAGGGACGCGGUGCCUUCCGCAGGGAUGCGGUGCCUUGCGCAGGGAUGCGGUGCCUUGCGCAGGGACGCGGUGCCUUCCGCAGGGAUGCGGUGCCUUGCGCAGGGAUGCGGUGCCUUGCGCAGGGACGCGGUGCCUUCCGCAGGGAUGCGGUGCCUUGCGCAGGGAUGCGGUGCCUUGCGCAGGGACGCGGUGCCUUCCGCAGGGAUGCGGUGCCUUGCGCAGGGAUGCGGUGCCUUGCGCAGGGACGCGGUGCCUUCCGCAGGGAUGCGGUGCCUUGCGCAGGGAUGCGGUGCCUUGCGCAGGGACGCGGUGCCUUCCGCAGGGAUGCGGUGCCUUGCGCAGGGAUGCGGUGCCUUGCGCAGGGACGCGGUGCCUUCCGCAGGGAUGCGGUGCCUUGCGCAGGGAUGCGGUGCCUUGCGCAGGGACGCGGUGCCUUCCGCAGGGAUGCGGUGCCUUGCGCCGCCCACGGGGAGCGCUCACAGCGCGCCGGGGCCGGGGGCGGUCCGCGCAGAGCUGGAGCUGCGCGGCGUGCGCGCAAUUCUUGCCUUUCUGCCGCCUGCUGCUGCUGCGCUGCCUUCUAAGAAGAGAAGACCGCACUUUUAUCUGAGGGCAGGGAGUACGCUUUGUGGACACACAACAAUAGGUAAUUCAUGCACAGAUGGAAGAUAUAGUAUCCACUGUCUGCAUCAGAAUAUCCUGGGCUGCAUCAAAGGCAGCAUCACCAGCAGGUCAAGGGAGAUGAUUUUGUCCCUGUAUUCAACUUUGGUGAGAUCCCACCUGGAAUACUGCAUCUGGGGUCCCCAGCACAGGAACAACAUGGACCUGCUGGUGCAAGUCCAGCAGAGGGCCAAGACAAUCCAGGCUGUGGUGGAGUACCUCUCCUUUGAAGACAGGAUGAGGGACUUGGGGUUGUUCAGCCUGGAGAAGGAUCCAGGGACACCUUAG
rnacentral:lncRNA from 1 species